rnacentral:rRNA from 1 species
AGACAGCAGUAGCCGCGGGAAUACGUAGGGUGCAAGCGUUAAUCGGAAUUACUGGGCGUAAAGCGUGCGCAGGCGGUUAUAUAAGACAGAUGUGAAAUCCCCGGGCUCAACCUGGGAACUGCAUUUGUGACUGUAUAGCUAGAGUACGGCAGAGGGGGAUGGAAUUCCGCGUGUAGCAGUGAAAUGCGUAGAUAUGCGGAGGAACACCGAUGGCGAAGGCAAUCCCCUGGGCCUGUACUGACGCUCAUGCACGAAAGCGUGGGGAGCAAACAGGAUUAGAGACCCCCGUAGUCCCUGUCUCUUAUAC